CAACACAUGCAAGGCCCUCUCCUCCUCCCUGGGCCUUACAUAGGCGGCGGCACCUCUCCUCCUCCCUGGUGCCGCCGCACAUCCUUCCCGGAGCUUUG
rnacentral:ncRNA from 13 species